CAAUAGCGUAUAUUAAAGUUGUUGCGGUUAAAAAGCUCGUAGUUGGAUUUCUGCUGAGAACGACCGGUCCGCCCUCUGGGUGUGUAUCUGGCUCUUUCUUGGCAUCUUCUUGGUGAACGUUGCUGCACUUGACUGUGUGGAGCGCUACCCAGGACUUUUACUUUGAGGAAAUUAGAGUGUUUCAAGCAGGCAUACGCCUUGAAUACAUUAGCAUGGAAUAAUAAGAUAGGACCUCGGUUCUAUUUUGUUGGUUUCUAGAGCUGAGGUAAUGAUUAAUAGGGAUAGUUGGGGGCAUUCGUAUUUAACUGUCAGAGGUGAAAUUCUUGGAUUUGUGAAAGACGGACUACUGCGAAAGCAUUUGCCAAGGAUGUUUUCAUUGA
rnacentral:rRNA from 1 species